UUAAGGAGGUAGGCGCGUGGUCCUCCUCACUUCCGCUGUUUGGUUAUUUGAAGCAUUCAGGCCCCCCCCAACCUUUUAAAAAAAUGUAUAAUCCGUCCCCCUUCCGCCUGCUGUGACGCACCGGAGGCGCUGACGUUGACCGUGUUCUGGAGGUAGCAUGAAUUUCAUCAGCACAGAGAGAAAGCUUCACUGAAAACUCAUUGCAGGUGCUGUGCUGAUUUGCUCCAAGGAAAAUACCACAUCAGAGCGAACAGGUACAGUUAAAGUUACUAGCUAUUUACAGCCAGCCUCCAAGAUCUAUCUACCUUCUGCUAAGACCAAAAAGGAUGCUAAAAUUAAGAAAUCAGAGGACAAACUAUCUUCUUUCUCAAAACUGAAAAACACCAUCUCUUCAUGCUGACCUGACAACAUGCCAACACAUCCGAGCAACGAUGGGAAAUUCUGCAUGAUAUUUCUUCUGAGUCCAUCAAUGGCUGAGCCUUGCCACCCU